CAGCAGCCGCGGUAAUACAGAGGUGGCAAGCGUUGUUCGGAAUUACUGGGCGUAAAGGGCGCGUAGGCGGCCAUCUAAGUCAGACGUGAAAUCCCCCGGCUUAACCUGGGAACUGCGUCUGAUACUGGGAGGCUAGAGUUUGGGAGAGGGAUGUAGAAUUCCAGGUGUAGCGGUGAAAUGCGUAGAUAUCUGGAGGAAUACCGGUGGCGAAGGCGGCAUCCUGGACCAAUACUGACGCUGAGGCGCGAAAGCUAGGGGAGCAAACGGGAUUAGAUACCCCGGUAGUCCUAGCCCUAAACGAUGAAUACUUGGUGUGGCGGGUAUCGAUCCCUGCCGUGCCGAAGCUAACGCAUUAAGUAUUCCGCCUGGGGAGUACGGUCGCAAGGCUGAAACUUAAAGGAAUUGACGG
rnacentral:rRNA from 1 species